UACGAAGGGGGCUAGCGUUGUUCGGAAUUACUGGGCGUAAAGGGCUCGUAGGCGGCCAACUAAGUCAGACGUGAAAUCCCUCGGCUUAACCUGGGAACUGCAUCUGAUACUGGAUGGCUUGAGUUCGGGAGAGGGAUGUGGAAUUCCAGGUGUAGCGGUGAAAUGCGUAGAUAUCUGGAGGAACACCGGUGGCGAAGGCGGCAUCCUGGACCGACACUGACGCUGAGGAGCGAAAGCCAGGGGAGCAAACGGG
rnacentral:rRNA from 1 species